rnacentral:rRNA from 1 species
GACGAACGCUGGCGGCGUGCUUAACACAUGCAAGUCGAACGGAAAGGCUCCAGCUUGCUGGAGUACUCGAGUGGCGAACGGGUGAGUAACACGUGGGUGAUCUGCCCUGCACUUCGGGAUAAGCCUGGGAAACUGGGUCUAAUACCGGAUAGGACCGCACUUUGGUGUGUGUGGUGGAAAGGUUUUUCUGGUGUGGGAUGAGCUCGCGGCCUAUCAGUUUGUUGGUGGGGUAAUGGCCUACCAAGACGGCGACGGGUAGCCGGCCUGAGAGGGUGGACGGUCACAUUGGGACUGAGAGACGGCGCAGACUCCUACGGGAGGCAGCAGUGGGGAAUAUUGCACAAUGGGGGAAACCCUGAUGCAGCGACGCCGCGUGGGGGAUGAAGGCCUUCGGGUUGUAAACUCCGUUCGCUAGGGACGAAGCUUUUUGUGACGGUACAUGGAGAAGAAGCACCGGCUAACUAAGUG